UACGUAGGGUGCAAGCGUUGUCCGGAAUUAUUGGGCGUAAAGAGCUCGUAGGCGGUCUGUCGCGUCGGCUGUGAAAUCCCGAGGCUCAACCUCGGGUCUGCAGCCGAUACGGGCAGGCUAGAGUUCGGUAGGGGAGACUGGAAUUCCUGGUGUAGCGGUGAAAUGCGCAGAUAUCAGGAGGAACACCGGUGGCGAAGGCGGAUCUCUGGGCCUUACCUGACGCUGAGGCGCGAAAGCUAGGGGAGCAAACAGG
rnacentral:rRNA from 1 species